GAUGAACGCUGGCGGCGUGCCUAAUACAUGCAAGUCGAGCGAACGGACGAGAAGCUUGCUUCUCUGAUGUUAGCGGCGGACGGGUGAGUAACACGUGGAUAACCUACCUAUAAGACUGGGAUAACUUCGGGAAACCGGAGCUAAUACCGGAUGAUAUUUUGAACCGCAUGGUUCAAAAGUUAAAGACGGUCCUGCUGUCACUUAUAGAUGGAUCCGCGCUGCAUUAGCUAGUUGGUAAGGUAACGGCUUACCAAGGCAACGAUGCAUAGCCGACCUGAGAGGGUGAUCGGCCACACUGGAACUGAGACACGGUCCAGACUCCUACGGGAGGCAGCAGUAGGGAAUCUUCCGCAAUGGGCGAAAGCCUGACGGAGCAACGCCGCGUGAGUGAUGAAGGUCUUCGGAUCGUAAAACUCUGUUAUUAGGGAAGAACAUAUGUGUAAGUAACUGUGCACAUCUUGACGGUACCUAAUCAGAAAGCCACGGCUAACUACGUG
rnacentral:rRNA from 1 species